rnacentral:rRNA from 1 species
CACGUAGGGGCCAAGCGUUGUCCGGAUUUAUUGGGCGUAAAGAGCUCGUAGGCGGUUCGACAAGUCGGGUGUGAAAACUCCGGGCUCAACCCGGAGACGCCACCCGAUACUGUCGUGACUGGAGUCCGGUAGGGGAGUGGGGAAUUCCUGGUGUAGCGGUGAAAUGCGUAGAUAUCUGCAGGAACACCCGUGGCGAAGGCGGCUGGCUGGACCGCAACUGACGCUGAGGAACGAAAGCUAGGGGAGCAAACAGG